rnacentral:rRNA from 1 species
UGAACGCUAGCUACAGGCUUAACACAUGCAAGUUCGAGGGGCAGCAUGGUCUUAGCUUGCUAAGGCCGAUGGCGACCGGCGCACGGGUGAGUAACACGUAUCCAACCUGCCGUCUACUCUUGGACAGCCUUCUGAAAGGAAGAUUAAUACAAGAUGGCAUCAUGAGUCCGCAUGUUCACAUGAUUAAAGGUAUUCCGGUAGACGAUGGGGAUGCGUUCCAUUAGAUAGUAGGCGGGGUAACGGCCCACCUAGUCUUCGAUGGAUAGGGGUUCUGAGAGGAAGGUCCCCCACAUUGGAACUGAGACACGGUCCAAACUCCUACGGGAGGCAGCAGUGAGGAAUAUUGGUCAAUGGGCGAGAGCCUGAACCAGCCAAGUAGCGUGAAGGAUGACUGCCCUAUGGGUUGUAAACUUCUUUUAUAAAGGAAUAAAGUCGGGUAUGGAUACCCGUUUGCAUGUACUUUAUGAAUAAGGAUCGGCUAACUCCGUGCCAGCAGCCGCGGUAAUACGGAGGAUCCGAGCGUUAUCCGGAUUUAUUGGGUUUAAAGGGAGCGUAGAUGGAUGUUUAAGUCAGUUGUGAAAGUUUGCGGCUCAACCGUAAAAUUGCAGUUGAUACUGGAUAUCUUGAGUGCAGUUGAGGCAGGCGGAAUUCGUGGUGUAGCGGUGAAAUGCUUAGAUAUCACGAAGAACUCCGAUUGCGAAGGCAGCCUGCUAAGCUGCAACUGACAUUGAGGCUCGAAAGUGUGGGUAUCAAACAGGAUUAGAUACCCUGGUAGUCCACACGGUAAACGAUGAAUACUCGCUGUUUGCGAUAUACUGCAAGCGGCCAAGCGAAAGCGUUAAGUAUUCCACCUGGGGAGUACGCCGGCAACGGUGAAACUCAAAGGAAUUGACGGGGGCCCGCACAAGCGGAGGAACAUGUGGUUUAAUUCGAUGAUACGCGAGGAACCUUACCCGGGCUUAAAUUGCAGAUGAAUUACGGUGAAAGCCGUAAGCCGCAAGGCAUCUGUGAAGGUGCUGCAUGGUUGUCGUCAGCUCGUGCCGUGAGGUGUCGGCUUAAGUGCCAUAACGAGCGCAACCCUUGUUGUCAGUUACUAACAGGUUCCGCUGAGGACUCUGACAAGACUGCCAUCGUAAGAUGUGAGGAAGGUGGGGAUGACGUCAAAUCAGCACGGCCCUUACGUCCGGGGCUACACACGUGUUACAAUGGGGGGUACAGAGGGCCGCUACCACGCGAGUGGAUGCCAAUCCCCAAAACCUCUCUCAGUUCGGACUGGAGUCUGCAACCCGACUCCACGAAGCUGGAUUCGCUAGUAAUCGCGCAUCAGCCACGGCGCGGUGAAUACGUUCCCGGGCCU